GAUGAACGCUGGCGGCGUGCCUAAUACAUGCAAGUCGAGCGAACAGACGAUGAGCUUGCUCCUCUGACGUUAGCGGCGGACGGGUGAGUAACACGUGGAUAACCUACCUAUAAGACUGGGAUAACUUCGGGAAACCGGAGCUAAUACCGUAUAAUAUAUUGAACCGCAUGGUUCAAUAGUGAAAGACGGUUUUGCUGUCACUUAUAGAUGGAUCCGCGCCGCAUUAGCUAGUUGGUAAGGUAACGGCUUACCAAGGCAACGAUGCGUAGCCGACCUGAGAGGGUGAUCGGCCACACUGGAACUGAGACACGGUCCAGACUCCUACGGGAGGCAGCAGUAGGGAAUCUUCCGCAAUGGGCGAAAGCUUGACGGAGCAACGCCGCGUGAGUGAUGAAGGUCUUCGGAUCGUAAAACUCUGUUAUUAGGGAAGAACAAAUGUGUAAGUAACGAUGCACGUCUUGACGGUACCUAAUCAGAAAGCCACGGCUAACUACGU
rnacentral:rRNA from 1 species